rnacentral:rRNA from 1 species
GACGAACGCUGGCGGCGUGCUUAACACAUGCAAGUCGAACGAUGAAGCCGGAGCUUGCUCUGGUGAAUUAGUGGCGAACGGGUGAGUAACACGUGAGUAACCUGCCCUUGACUCUGGGAUAACUGCUAGAAAUGGUAGCUAAUACCGGAUACGACCCUCGGAGGCAUCUCCAGGGGGUGGAAGGAAUUUCGGUCAAGGAUGGACUCGCGGCCUAUCAGCUAGUUGGUGAGGUAACGGCUCACCAAGGCGACGACGGGUAGCCGGCCUGAGAGGGUGACCGGCCACACUGGGACUGAGACACGGCUCAGACUCCUACGGGAGGCAGCAGUGGGGAAUAUUGCACAAUGGGCGCAAGCCUGAUGCAGCAACGCCGCGUGAGGGAUGACGGCCUUCGGGUUGUAAACCUCUUUUAGCAGGGAAGAAGCGAAAGUGACGGUACCUGCGGAAAAAGCACCGGCUAACUACGUGCCAGCCGCCGCCGUAA